rnacentral:rRNA from 1 species
UACAGCGGGGGCAAGCGUUAUUCGGAAUUAUUGGGCGUAAAGGGCGCGUAGGCGGCUUGGCAAGUGGAUGGUGAAAUCCCUCGGCUUAACCGAGGAACUGCCGUCCAAACUGCUUCGCUUGAGACCGGGAGAGGUGAGUGGAAUUCCCAGUGUAGCGGUGAAAUGCGUAGAUAUUGGGAGGAACACCAGUGGCGAAGGCGGCUCACUGGACCGGUACUGACGCUGAUGCGCGAAAGCGUGGGGAGCAAACGGG